ensembl:snRNA U2 U2 spliceosomal RNA
AACCCCUCUUGGCCUUUUGACUGAGAUCAAGUGUAGUGUCUGUUCUUACCCGUUUACUACAUAAUACGACCUCUAUCAGAGGACAGUGUAUUAAAUGGAUUUUUGGAGCAGGGAGGUGAAAUGGGAGCUUGCCCCUUCCACUACACGCAAGGACCUGGUAUGGGCCAGCAACAGUGGCCCCCUC